rnacentral:rRNA from 1 species
GUACACACCGCCCGUCACACCAUGGGAGUUGGUCUUUACCCGAAGACGGUGCGCUAACCGCAAGGAGGCAGCCGGCCACGGUAAGGUCAGCGACUGGGGUGAAGUCGUAACAAGGUUUCCGUAGGUGAACCUGCAGAAGGAUCA